UACGUAGGGGGCGAGCGUUGUCCGGAAUUAUUGGGCGUAAAGAGCGUGUAGGCUGUUCGGUAAGUCUGCCGUGAAAACCUGAGGCUCAACCUCGGGCGUGCGGUGGAUACUGCCGGGCUAGAGGACGGUAGAGGCGAGUGGAAUUCCCGGUGUAGCGGUGAAAUGCGCAGAUAUCGGGAGGAACACCAGUAGCGAAGGCAGCUCGCUGGGCCGUUCCUGACGCUGAGACGCGAAAGCUAGGGGAGCGAACAGG
rnacentral:rRNA from 1 species